rnacentral:rRNA from 1 species
CCUAGUACGGCGAGUGAGCGGGAAGAGCUCAAAUUUAAAAUCUGUAAGGUUCAACCUUGCCGAGUUGUAGUUUGAAGAAGUGUUUUCCGCGGCGGCUGCAGUACAAAUCCUUUGGAACAGGGUAUCAGAGAGGGUGAGAAUCCCGUCUUUGACUGCAGACUAGUUGCACUGUGAUACACUUUCUAAGAGUCGAGUUGUUUGGGAAUGCAGCUCAAAAUGGGUGGUAAAUUUCAUCUAAAGCUAAAUAUUGGCAAGAGACCGAUAGCGAACAAGUACCGUGAGGGAAAGAUGAAAAGAACUUUGAAAAGAGAGUUAAAUAGUACGUGAAAUUGUUAAAAGGGAAACGCUUGAAGUCAGUGUUGCCGGCGGAAAAUCAGCUUCAGACUGGAGACUUGCGUGGGUGGAGGGAGUGUUAAAACCCCUUGCCUAC